AGUCGAACGAACUCUGGUAUUGAUUGGUGCUUGCAUCAUGAUUUACAUUUGAGUGAGUGGCGAACUGGUGAGUAACACGUGGGAAACCUGCCCAGAAGCGGGGGAUAACACCUGGAAACAGAUGCUAAUACCGCAUAACAACUUGGACCGCAUGGUCCGAGCUUGAAAGAUGGCUUCGGCUAUCACUUUUGGAUGGUCCCGCGGCGUAUUAGCUAGAUGGUGGGGUAACGGCUCACCAUGGCAAUGAUACGUAGCCGACCUGAGAGGGUAAUCGGCCACAUUGGGACUGAGACACGGCCCAAACUCCUACGGGAGGCAGCAGUAGGGAAUCUUCCACAAUGGACGAAAGUCUGAUGGAGCAACGCCGCGUGAGUGAAGAAGGGUUUCGGCUCGUAAAACUCUGUUGUUAAAGAAGAACAUAUCUGAGAGUAACUGUUCAGGUAUUGACGGUAUUUAACCAGAAAGCCACGGCUAACUACGUGCCAGCAGCCGCGGUAAUACGUAGGUGGCAAGCGUUGUCCGGAUUUAUUGGGCGUAAAGCGAGCGCAGGCGGUUUUUUAAGUCUGAUGUGAAAGCCUUCGGCUCAACCGAAGAAGUGCAUCGGAAACUGGAAAACUUGAGUGCAGAAGAGGACAGUGGAACUCCAUGUGUAGCGGUGAAAUGCGUAGAUAUAUGGAAGAACACCAGUGGCGAAGGCGGCUGUCUGGUCUGUAACUGACGCUGAGGCUCGAAAGUAUGGGUAGCAAACAGGAUUAGAUACCCUGGUAGUCCAUACCGUAAACGAUGAAUGCUAAGUGUUGGAGGGUUUCCGCCCUUCAGUGCUGCAGCUAACGCAUUAAGCAUUCCGCCUGGGGAGUACGGCCGCAAGGCUGAAACUCAAAGGAAUUGACGGGGGCCCGCACAAGCGGUGGAGCAUGUGGUUUAAUUCGAAGCUACGCGAAGAACCUUACCAGGUCUUGACAUACUAUGCAAAUCUAAGAGAUUAGACGUUCCCUUCGGGGACAUGGAUACAGGUGGUGCAUGGUUGUCGUCAGCUCGUGUCGUGAGAUGUUGGGUUAAGUCCCGCAACGAGCGCAACCCUUAUUAUCAGUUGCCAGCAUUAAGUUGGGCACUCUGGUGAGACUGCCGGUGACAAACCGGAGGAAGGUGGGGAUGACGUCAAAUCAUCAUGCCCCUUAUGACCUGGGCUACACACGUGCUACAAUGGAUGGUACAACGAGUUGCGAACUCGCGAGAGUAAGCUAAUCUCUUAAAGCCAUUCUCAGUUCGGAUUGUAGGCUGCAACUCGCCUACAUGAAGUCGGAAUCGCUAGUAAUCGCGGAUCAGCAUGCCGCGGUGAAUACGUUCCCGGGCCUUGUACACACCGCCCGUCACACCAUGAGAGUUUGUAACACCCAAAGUCGGUGGGGUAACCUUUUAGGAACCAGCCGCCUAAGGUGGGACAGAUGAUUAGGGUGAAGUCGUAACAAG
rnacentral:rRNA from 2 species